AGAGAGAGACAUGCGCGCAUAUCAAUAAGCGGAGGAAAAGAAACUAACAAGGAUUCCCCUAGUAACGGCGAGUGAAGCGGGAAGAGCUCAAAUUUGAAAUCUUCAAGGUUCUACCUUGACGAAUUGUAGUUUAAAGAAGUGUUUUCUGUUGGAGUUUUGGUAAAAGUUCUUUGGAAUAGGACAUCAUAGAGGGUGAGAAUCCCGUAUUUGACCAUUAUUUCCAGCUUUGUGAUACACUUUCAAAGAGUCGGAUUGUUUGGGAAUGCAGUCCAAAAUGGGUGGUAAAUUUCAUCUAAAGCUAAAUACUGGCGAGAGACCGAUAGCGAACAAGUACCGUGAGGGAAAGAUGAAAAGAACUUUGAAAAGAGAGUUAAACAGUACGUGAAAUUGUCAAAAGGGAAGCGUUUGACACCAGUGUUGUUUUCUCGAAAAUCAAUUAAAAAAGGCAGGAUUUUGUGUUGUAUUGACUUUAUCAGCUUUCUGCACUCUUUUCUUGUCUUUUUUAGUGCACUUCUCGUUUAACAAGUCAACAUCAAUUUCUUUUGUUGUAAAAGGGUCAUUGGAAGGUGGCUUUCUUUUCGGAGAAAGUGUUUAUAGCCUUUGGCCUCUGCAAUCGGAGAGAUUGAGGUCUGCAGCGUAGAUCCUUCGGGGUUAGAUACAUUUGUGCUAAGUUAUAGCCUUUCAUAGACAACUUGUUGACUAUGAUCAGUCAUGUAGCUUACUCGCUUAUGUUAUUUUACCUACGCUUAGGAUGUUGAUGUGAUACUGCGAGCA
rnacentral:rRNA from 1 species